rnacentral:rRNA from 1 species
AUGAACGCUGGCGGCGUGCCUAAUCCCUGCAAGUCGCGCGAACAGACGAGGAGCUUGCUCCUCUGACGUUAGCGGUGGACGGGUGAGUAACACGUGGAUAACCUACCUAUAAGACUGGGAUAACUUCGGGAAACCGGAGCUAAUACCGGAUAACAUGUUGAACCGCAUGGUUCAACAGUGAAAGACGGUCUUGCUGUCACUUAUAGAUGGAUCCGCGCCGCAUUAGCUAGUUGGUAAGGUAACGGCUUACCAAGGCAACGAUGCGUAGCCGACCUGAGAGGGUGAUCGGCCACACUGGAACUGAGACACGGUCCAGACUCCUACGGGAGGCAGCAGUAGGGAAUCUUCCGCAAUGGGCGAAAGCCUGACGGAGCAACGCCGCGUGAGUGAAGAAGGUCUUCGGAUCGUAAAACUCUGUUAUUAGGGAAGAACAAAUGUGUAAGUAACUAUGCACGUCUUGACGGUACCUAAUCAGAAAGCCACGGCUAACUACGUG